rnacentral:sRNA from 1 species
GACGCUCAUUUGGCGACAGAGCCAGCGG